CAGAGAGCUUGCUCUCGGGUGACGAGCGGCGGACGGGUGAGUAAUGUCUGGGAAACUGCCUGAUGGAGGGGGAUAACUACUGGAAACGGUAGCUAAUACCGCAUAACGUCGCAAGACCAAAGUGGGGGACCUUCGGGCCUCAUGCCAUCAGAUGUGCCCAGAUGGGAUUAGCUAGUAGGUGGGGUAAUGGCUCACCUAGGCGACGAUCCCUAGCUGGUCUGAGAGGAUGACCAGCCACACUGGAACUGAGACACGGUCCAGACUCCUACGGGAGGCAGCAGUGGGGAAUAUUGCACAAUGGGCGCAAGCCUGAUGCAGCCAUGCCGCGUGUGUGAAGAAGGCCUUCGGGUUGUAAAGCACUUUCAGCGGGGAGGAAGGCGUUAAGGUUAAUAACCUUGUCGAUUGACGUUACCCGCAGAAGAAGCACCGGCUAACUCCGUGCCAGCAGCCGCGGUAAUACGGAGGGUGCAAGCGUUAAUCGGAAUUACUGGGCGUAAAGCGCACGCAGGCGGUCUGUCAAGUCGGAUGUGAAAUCCCCGGGCUCAACCUGGGAACUGCAUUCGAAACUGGCAGGCUAGAGUCUUGUAGAGGGGGGUAGAAUUCCAGGUGUAGCGGUGAAAUGCGUAGAGAUCUGGAGGAAUACCGGUGGCGAAGGCGGCCCCCUGGACAAAGACUGACGCUCAGGUGCGAAAGCGUGGGGAGCAAACAGGAUUAGAUACCCUGGUAGUCCACGCCGUAAACGAUGUCGAUUUGGAGGUUGUGCCCUUGAGGCGUGGCUUCCGGAGCUAACGCGUUAAAUCGACCGCCUGGGGAGUACGGCCGCAAGGUUAAAACUCAAAUGAAUUGACGGGGGCCCGCACAAGCGGUGGAGCAUGUGGUUUAAUUCGAUGCAACGCGAAGAACCUUACCUGGUCUUGACAUCCACAGAACUUUCCAGAGAUGGAUUGGUGCCUUCGGGAACUGUGAGACAGGUGCUGCAUGGCUGUCGUCAGCUCGUGUUGUGAAAUGUUGGGUUAAGUCCCGCAACGAGCGCAACCCUUAUCCUUUGUUGCCAGCGGUUAGGCCGGGAACUCAAAGGAGACUGCCAGUGAUAAACUGGAGGAAGGUGGGGAUGACGUCAAGUCAUCAUGGCCCUUACGACCAGGGCUACACACGUGCUACAAUGGCAUAUACAAAGAGAAGCGACCUCGCGAGAGCAAGCGGACCUCAUAAAGUAUGUCGUAGUCCGGAUUGGAGUCUGCAACUCGACUCCAUGAAGUCGGAAUCGCUAGUAAUCGUAGAUCAGAAUGCUACGGUGAAUACGUUCCCGGGCCUUGUACACACCGCCCGUCACACCAUGGGAGUGGGUUGCAAAAGAAGUAGGUAGCUUAAC
rnacentral:rRNA from 1 species